rnacentral:rRNA from 1 species
UAGGGAAUCUUCGGCAAUGGACGAAAGUCUGACCGAGCAACGCCGCGCGAGUGAAGAAGGCUUUCGGAUCGUAAAACUCUGUUGUUAGAGAAGAACAAGGACGUUAGUAACUGAACGUCCCCUGACGGUAUCUAACCAGAAAGCCACGGCUAACUACGUGCCAGCAGCCGCGGUAAUACGUAGGUGGCAAGCGUUGUCCGGAUUUAUUGGGCGUAAAGCGAGCGCAGGCGGUUUCUUAAGUCUGAUGUGAAAGCCCCCGGCUCAACCGGGGAGGGUCAUUGGAAACUGGGAGACUUGAGUGCAGAAGAGGAGAGUGGAAUUCCAUGUGUAGCGGUGAAAUGCGUAGAUAUAUGGAGGAACACCAGUGGCGAAGGCGGCUCUCUGGUCUGUAACUGACGCUGAGGCUCGAAAGCGUGGGGAGCAAACAGG